GGAUUAGCAGGCGCUGAGGGGGCUCGGCGGGGCGGGCGGACCCUCCUCAGGCCUCAGCCGAGGGCGGGAAGGCGCCGCGCGGGGUGCCACGCCGGGCCCGCCCCCCGAGCUGCUGUGGGGCAGCUCCGGCCGCAGCCGCCGCAGGCUCCGGGUCCACUGGCCACGGCUCCGCACAGCCCCGGAGCCUUCGGCAGGGACCUGCCGCUGUAAAUGGCUCCCUGCUCCUUCCUGGUGCUCAGCGGCAGUAUUCACAGAUGCUCGGGAACACGGUGAGCAGCUCCUGCGUGGCUCCAGACACGUCUGAUAAAACUCCCCUGGUGAAGCAUAGUUGCAGAAGAAAGAAACACAAACAAACAAACAAAAAACACCAAAUAAGCAAAAAACGCCCCAGAGCCUCAGGUCGGACCUCUGUGCAGAGGGUGAAGGUGCACAGCCAUCCAUCUGUGUCAGCUCCAGCCAUCCCUGAGAGAAGACAGUAUGUUUGCACACUUAGGCGUCACCAGCCAGGAAAAAAAUAGUUUGUCACCCUCUGCUUUGUGCUUUCCAUGCUUUAUAUUCAGGCAGAACACAGCGAGGCUCCCGUUGCUCCCAGGCACAGCCCGGAGCAUCAGCUGUUGCCAUAUCACAAGGCACCUGUGGUUUUCCCUGUCUCCCUGGUGUUAGCUGAAGAUAACGAGAUCUUAAUUAUCACCAGAAAAGUGCUGAGCCUCUUCCCAGUGCGGCUCUGCAGCUGGUCGUAGUGGCAAGCAGGGCUCCAUCCCUCCAGCUGCCUUUGGGCUGGGGCUCAGACAUUUGGGGAAGGAGAGGGAGUUUUGCUAUAAACCAUCCUUGGAAUGGUGUAUCCCCAACGGGGACCUGGAGGAACCUCCCACAUGCCCCAGAGCAGGUAUCCACUGCUCUUCCAGGGCACCAAACCUGUCUGGGAACUCCAUGCCCUGCAAGAGGGGAAUCACCCUCACUUAUGCCCACUGUGCAGCUCCAGCCCUCCCCAGCACCAAGGCUGAUGUCCAGCCCUGCCUGCCUUGCUGGUGGCAACAGCUCUCAGGAGCAGUUUGCUGGAUCAGGAAACCCCACUCCCCCCCCAAUCCAUGGGGAGCACUGGGAUGUUGUGUUUGG
rnacentral:lncRNA from 1 species